rnacentral:rRNA from 1 species
AUUGAACGCUGGCGGCAGGCUUAACACAUGCAAGUCGAGCGGGGUGAUGGUGCUUGCACUAUCACUUAGCGGCGGACGGGUGAGUAAUGCUUAGGAAUCUGCCUAUUAGUGGGGGACAACAUCUCGAAAGGGAUGCUAAUACCGCAUACGUCCUACGGGGGAAAGCAGGGGAUCACUUGUGACCUUGCGCUAAUAGAUGAGCCUAAGUCGGAUUAGCUAGUUGGUGGGGUAAAGGCCUACCAAGGCGACGAUCUGUAGCGGGUCUGAGAGGAUGAUCCGCCACACUGGGACUGAGACACGGCCCAGACUCCUACGGGAGGCAGCAGUGGGGAAUAUUGGACAAUGGGGGGAACCCUGAUCCAGCCAUGCCGCGUGUGUGAAGAAGGCCUUAUGGUUGUAAAGCACUUUAAGCGAGGAGGAGGCUCUUUUGGUUAAUACCCAAGAUGAGUGGACGUUACUCGCGGAAUAAGCACCGGCUAACUCUGUGCCAGCCGCCGCAGUAA